rnacentral:tRNA from 1 species
AUAUAAGUAUGCUAAAUCUAAGCUUUUAAAUUCAUAAUUUAAAUAUAGAAUAAUUUCUCUUAUAUA